rnacentral:lncRNA from 1 species
AUGUGGAGCUCAGGCAGCUCUGCUCCGAGCCUUGGGCGCCUCCAGGAGCUCCUCCUUCUGUGGCACCUGAGGUCCCUGGGUGCUCCUGGUAGGUACACAUCACCACAGGCUACCACGUGGUGUGUCCUCUGGGCCCUCCCAGUAGUACCACCGGGGGCGGUGGAAGAAGAAACAGGUUCACAGAGGACCAGUGACGUACCCAAGCCCAGUGAUGACUGUCCACGCCCUGUGCUGGGUGAGGACGUGAUGACAGUUCCAUGGCAUCAGGAACUCAUCCCAGACUUGGCCAUCUCCCCAGAUGUCUGGCCAUUUCCAAGCUGGUUGUGCGUCAGAAUCACCAAGGUUCUCUGGAGACACGGACGCCUGGCCCCAGGCCCCACAGUGCUGCUUCACAGGCCCCAGGUAGGACCUGGGCGCCUGCAGGUAAAAAGGCCCGCAGGUCCAGCGGUCCCAGCCCCUACGCUUGGCCCGGUUCUGCCCCAGGUCCA